GGGGUUGUGGCUCAGUGGUAGAGCGCUUGCCUUUCAUGUAUGAGGCACUUGGUUCAAUCCUU
rnacentral:tRNA from 1 species